ACGAAGCAGUCAUGCGUUUUUUUUGGGGAAGAAAGGAAGGAUUACUGUUACGAAGGCCUUUCCAGCUUCACCAGGAUCUGAAAGCGUCUAGUGUUGAGA